GCCCAAUGACCCGGUGGUCGUCAGCAACCCGAGCGUCCCGUUCCACGCGGCGCUGCCCCGCACGCCCUCGGCCCAGCCCCGGCCCAUCACCAUCGUGGGCAGCGU